rnacentral:rRNA from 1 species
UACGAAGGGGGCUAGCGUUGCUCGGAAUCACUGGGCGUAAAGGGUGCGUAGGCGGGUUUUUAAGUCAGGGGUGAAAUCCUGGAGCUCAACUCCAGAACUGCCUUUGAUACUGAAGAUCUCGAGUCCGGGAGAGGUGAGUGGAACUGCGAGUGUAGAGGUGAAAUUCGUAGAUAUUAGGAAGAACACCAGUGGCGAAGGCGACUCUUUGGCCUGUAACUGACGCUGAGGCGCGAAAGCGUGGGGAGCAAACAGG